ACUUAAAUAGUUUAAUUAAAAUAUUGAUUUGUGGUGUCAAAGAUAUGGGUUUUAUUUUAAGUU
rnacentral:tRNA from 1 species